rnacentral:lncRNA from 10 species
UUGUGAUAGUGAGUAAGUCUCAUGAGAUCUGUCACUUUUAUAAGGGCAAGUUUCCUUCCACAAGCUCUGUUUUUUUGCCUGCUGCCAUCCAUUUAAGGUGACUUGCUCCUCCUUGCUUUUCGCCAUUAUUAUGAGGCUUCCCCAGCCACAUGGAACUCCAGAAUAAAGGCCUUUCAUAUUCUUCCACACAAUAUUCAAAAGCUGGAGUGCACUGACAUGAUCUUGGCUCACCUCAACCUCGACCUCCCAGGUUCAAGUGAUUUUCCCACCUCAGCCUCCUGAGCAGCUGGGACAACGAUCAGAUGGAUGCUUGGGCUCUCAUUCUUCCUUCUGCAAUGACCAGAGAGUCUUUGGCUUCUUCCGUCUUGCUGGAAAAAGAACAUUCAUGGUUUUUAGGGUACAUUGUUGAGGAGGGGACAACAGAAAGAUGACUUCUCUUCUUUAUUUGAGAAU